rnacentral:rRNA from 1 species
GACGAAGGGGGCUAGCGUUGUUCGGAAUUACUGGGCGUAAAGCGCGUGUAGGCGGUUGCGAUAGUCAGGUGUGAAAGCCUUGAGCUUAACUCAAGAAAUGCACUUGAUACUGGGCGACUAGAGGACCGGAGAGGAUAGUGGAAUUCCCAGUGUAGUGGUGAAAUACGUAGAGAUUGGGAAGAACACCAGUGGCGAAGGCGGCUAUCUGGACGGUUACUGACGCUAAGACGCGAAAGCGUGGGGAGCAAACAGG